AGCAGUAGGGAAUCUUCGGCAAUGGACGAAAGUCUGACCGAGCAACGCCGCGUGAGUGAAGAAGGUUUUCGGAUCGUAAAACUCUGUUGGUAGAGAAGAACGUUGGUGAGAGUGGAAAGCUCAUCAAGUGACGGUAACUACCCAGAAAGGGACGGCUAACUACGUGCCGG
rnacentral:rRNA from 1 species